rnacentral:rRNA from 1 species
UUCGAAGCAACGCGCAGAACCUUACCAACCCUUGACAUGGAGGGGACCGAUCCAGAGAUGGAUUUUUCUCGUAAGAGACCCCUCACACAGGUGCUGCAUGGCUGUCGUCAGCUCGUGUCGUGAGAUGUUCGGUUAAGUCCGGCAACGAGCGCAACCCACGUCUUUAGUUGCCAGCAUUCAGUUGGGCACUCUAAAGAAACUGCCGGUGAUAAGCCGGAGGAAGGUGUGGAUGACGUCAAGUCCUCAUGGCCCUUACGGGUUGGGCUACACACGUGCUACAAUGGUGGUGACAAUGGGUUAAUCCCAAAAAGCCAUCUCAGUUCGGAUUGGGGUCUGCAACUCGACCCCAUGAAGUCGGAAUCGCUAGUAAUCGCGUAACAGCAUGACGCGGUGAAUACGUUCCCGGGCCUUGUACACACCGCCCGUCACACCAUGGGAAUUGGAUCUACCCGAAGGUGGUGCGCCAACCAGCAAUGGAGGCAGCCAACCACGGUGGGUUCAGUGACUGGGGUGAAGUCGUAACAAGGUAGCCGUAGGGGAACCUGCGGCUGGAUCACCUCCUUUCUAA